GACGAACGCUGGCGGCGUGCUUAACACAUGCAAGUCGAACGGAAAGGCCCUGCUUUUUUGGUGUGCUCGAGUGGCGAACGGGUGAGUAACACGUGAGUAACCUGCCCUUCACUUUGGGAUAACUUCAGGAAACUGGGGCUAAUACCGGAUAGGAGCUCCUGCUGCAUGGUGGGGGUUGGAAAGUUUCGGCGGUUGGGGAUGGACUCGCGGCUUAUCAGCUUGUUGGUGGGGUAGUUGCUUACCAAGGCUUUGACGGGUAGCCGGCCUGAGAGGGUGACCGGCCACAUUGGGACUGAGAUACGGCCCAGACUCCUACGGGAGGCAGCAGUGGGGAAUAUUGCACAAUGGGCGGAAGCCUGAUGAAGAAACGCCGCGUGCGGGAUGACGGCCUUCGGGUUGUAAACCGCUUUCGCCUGAGACGAAGCGUGAGUGACGGUAAUGGGUAAAGAAGCACCGGCUAACUACGUG
rnacentral:rRNA from 1 species